rnacentral:rRNA from 1 species
AGAGGCGAUGAAGGACGUGCUAAUCUGCGAUAAGCGCCGGUAAGGUGAUAUGAACCGUUAUAACCGGCGAUUUCCGAAUGGGGAAACCCAGUGUGAUUCGUCACACUAUCAUUAACUGAAUCCAUAGGUUAAUGAGGCGAACCGGGGGAACUGAAACAUCUAAGUACCCCGAGGAAAAGAAAUCAACCGAGAUUCCCCCAGUAGCGGCGAGCGAACGGGGAGGAGCCCAGAGCCUGAAUCAGCAUAUGUGUUAGUGGAAGCGUCUGGAAAGGCGCGCGAUACAGGGUGACAGCCCCGUACACAAAAGCGCAUGUGCUGUGAGCUCGAUGAGUAGGGCGGGACACGUGGUAUCCUGUCUGAAUAUGGGGGGACCAUCCUCCAAGGCUAAAUACUCCUGACUGACCGAUAGUGAACCAGUACCGUGAGGGAAAGGCGAAAAGAACCCCGGCGAGGGGAGUGAAACAGAACCUGAAACCGUGUACGUACAAGCAGUGGGAGCCCCACCACUAAGCCAGUGGUGAACUCCACAUACGCAUCCUUUGCUGAGGAUACGGUUAGCGGAGCGAAAGCGACGUUCAACCUCAAAAGAAGCAGAGGGGGCUUAGUGGUGGGGUGACUGCGUACCUUUUGUAUAAUGGGUCAGCGACUUAUAUUCUGUAGCAAGGUUAACCGUAUAGGGGAGCCGAAGGGAAACCGAGUCUUAACCGGGCGUUAAGUUGCAGGGUAUAGACCCGAAACCCGGUGAUCUAGCCAUGGGCAGGUUGAAGGUUGGGUAACACUAACUGGAGGACCGAACCGACUAAUGUUGAAAAAUUAGCGGAUGACCUGUGGCUGGGGGUGAAAGGCCAAUCAAACCGGGAGAUAGCUGGUUCUCCCCGAAAGCU